rnacentral:tRNA from 1 species
UGAUUGGUGGUUCAGUGGUAGAAUUCUCACCUGCCAUGCGAGAGACCCAAGUUCAAUUCCCAACCAA